rnacentral:tRNA from 1 species
GCCCAGGUAGCUCAGUUGGUAGAGCAGCGGACUGAAAAUCCGCGUGUCGCUGGUUCGAUUCCAGCCCUGGGCACCA